AUUUAAAUAGCUUAUAGUAGAGCAUAACACUGAAGAUGUUAGGGAAGUUAUUUAACUUUUAAAUA
rnacentral:tRNA from 1 species